rnacentral:piRNA from 1 species
UUUUGACUGAGGAGCUCUUUGAU